GGGCACAGCCUCCGGCCGCCUCACGGCCGCCACAGAGGCGGCCCAGCUUGCUCGGCUGAACACGAGAGCACGCAGCACAUGGGCUCUCGCCGGCAGCCACGCUGUGAAAUGCCAGGAUGCAAGCGAGAGGCUUACCUUCGCCCCGGGGAAGGGAUUUCUGUGGAAGUGGACGAAAUGAACACGGGGGGCAAAGGCUGCAGGAGAGGGAAACUGGAUCUCAAAAGCUGAACCCUGAGGACAAGCUCACCGCAUGGCUGGCGGGUUCCCUGCCUGCCAGCACUGUUAUCCUUCCAUGGGGCCAAGAGCUGCGUGAGAAAAGGAGGGAGGUGAAAUGACAGAGCACGUCCUGAAGUCCUCACCUAAGAGGAAACGUUCCGGCCGAUCUGAACCGCUUCUGCUGCCCCCCAGAAGGUGUCUCCACCGGCCCGCGCUGAUGCAGCACAUCCCGGGCAGGCAGCGAAGCCCCAGCCCAGCGCGCCCUCCAAAUGGGAUUCUGCAGCAGGUCACCAUGGGCCACGGAAGGAGAAGAGCUGCAUUUCCCCUGGGAAGAAAGGCACAGAGAGGAGAACAUCCAUGACCCUGCUAUUAUCUCCUCUGAGCUGCUCUGUAAGGAUGCUGCAGAACCUGGCUGCCCUUGGGACACCAAGGCUGGCUGAGAGACUGGGGUGAGUGGUUAUGGAAAUAUUGGCAAGUGUCAAGUUGUCAAUUAUAAUGAUCCCUGGGAACAGCUUCCCACAUGGAUGGACACCACACUGAUCAUUAGAGCUGGCACACAGUGUUUUCCUCCUCUAGGACUCAGGACUAGACCAGCCCUCUGCUCAUUUUGUUUGUAGAGGAAAAGCAAUGCUGCUCCCAGACACUCACACCCUUCACAGGGCUUUUGUUUUACUCCUUGCUUCCCCUGAAUAAAGCACUUGGAAUUUGCUUAAUUGACUUCCUGCCUGGCUUCUAGUCUUAAGUGUAACUUACUUUCCCUGUCCUUCCUUUCUGCCUUAGCACACAACACUGGUAACCCCAUUUGCUCCAAAGGAGCAAUAUUUCCGUCAGCCUGUAUUUUGGGAUCAGCACUGGGUUUUGGUAGCUAUGGAAACACAAAAAAGCCUUAGCAACCAAUGGUGACCAGCAAGGAAAGCAACUGGUGCUGCCAUGGAAACCUGUGGCCUUAAAACAGUUUCUUGAAGUCACUUGCUCUUUCUCCCAGGCAAAUGUCAACGGGCUGUGAAAGAAGCCCCAGUGGAGGGGAUCUGAUAGGGGAUCUGCUCUGCCCUUGGCAGGGGCCUCACCUGGGCAGUGCUGGAGCAGCCUUCCAGCACCAUCUCCACAAUCUGGCCUGGCCUCAGGUCCAUCUGCAGUGACCACAGCUUAAACACGGGGCUGCCAGGUCUGGGGCUCUGGGAAUUAUCUACUCUUGGUGCCACUGAGGGCAGGGGGACAAUGGUGCUGCUGAAAUAUGCUGUAACUUUCAGUGGUCCAGUACAGCUGAUGGAUGUGUUGUCCUUUGUUUGUCACUUGGAACUAGUAACAGAAGGGAAUGAAGCUA